rnacentral:tRNA from 1 species
GCCCUCGUAGCUCAGCGGAUUAGAGCAGGACGCUUCUAUCGUCAAGGUCGUAGGUUCGAUUCCUACCGAGGGCG